GGUCAGGGUUCCUUACUGUAGGUGUGAAGGUUAGAAAGAGUUGGUAUUUUCUUCACUUAUCAAAUGGCUGUUAUCUAGAAAUGCUCCUCGCAUCUUAAUGGUGAGCAAUGUCCCACCACCCACCGAAGCUGGUUUAUGCUAUGGAAGGCAUAAACACACUGAAUCAAACAGAGUGAUUGGUCAGGUUUCGAUCAUUGCACUUCUUCUGGGGUGGCUGUAGCUCAGGUGGCAGAGCAGGACAGCUACUAAUCAGAAGUGGAGGUCGCUCUCAAAGAAGGAGCAGAAAAAAUAUUUUGACGAGGCGGAAACACAAAGAUGUCAUCACGCCACAGAACAUCCGAAUUGGUCAACCAAAGAGAACUAUGGCAAAAAGAGGAAGAGGGUCAGAGAUCGUAACUGCACCAAAGAGGACGCUCAGCAGGCCAAAACACGUUGUGUGAGGCCAGGUCAAGCAGAGCCGUCUUCUUCAGCUAUAAAGGAACCACAUCAGCUGGAUAGAGUCUGGGUGUGCCAGCCACAGACACGUGUUAACACCCUAACCAUUCAGGACACAGUACUGGUGCAAAUGCCAAACACACUGAACCCAGUCAGUGUGCCUGUGUGCAAUGUGCCAUGUGCCACAACUUUAUUAGUCCCUCCUGUAAUAAAGUGAAUUAUUAUU